UGAGCAACCUGCCCUUGACCCUGGAAUAACAGCUGGAAACAGCUGCUAAUACCGGAUACGACCUCCGAUGGCAUCAUCGGAGGUGGAAAGCUCCGGCGGUCAAGGAUGGGCUCGCGGCCUAUCAGCUAGUUGGUGUGGGUAACGGCCCACCAAGGCGACGACGGGUAGCCGGCCUGAGAGGGUGACCGGCCACACUGGGACUGAGACACGGCCCAGACUCCGUACGGGGAGGNAGCG
rnacentral:rRNA from 1 species